AUUGAACGCUGGCGGCAUGCUUUACACAUGCAAGUCGAACGGCAGCGCGGGCUUCGGCCUGGCGGCGAGUGGCGAACGGGUGAGUAAUACAUCGGAACGUGCCCAGUAGUGGGGGAUAGCUCGGCGAAAGCCGGAUUAAUACCGCAUACGACCUGAGGGUGAAAGCGGGGGAUCUUCGGACCUCGCGCUAUUGGAGCGGCCGAUGGCAGAUUAGCUAGUUGGUGGGGUAAAGGCCUACCAAGGCGACGAUCUGUAGCUGGUCUGAGAGGACGACCAGCCACACUGGGACUGAGACACGGCCCAGACUCCUACGGGAGGCAGCAGUGGGGAAUUUUGGACAAUGGGCGAAAGCCUGAUCCAGCAAUGCCGCGUGUGUGAUGAAGGCCUUCGGGUUGUAAAGCACUUUUGGCGGGAACGAAAAGGACUGUGCCAGUACCACGGUUCGAUGGCGGUACCCGCAGAAUAAGCACCGGCUAACUACGUG
rnacentral:rRNA from 1 species